rnacentral:ncRNA from 2 species
UACGGAGGGUGCGAGCGUUAUCCGGAAUCACUGGGUUUAAAGGGUGCGUAGGCGGCGCGCUAAGUCAGGGGUGAAAUCCCGCGGCUCAACUGCGGAACUGCCCUUGAUACUGGCGUGCUCGGAUCGGCGCGAGGCAGGCGGAACGUGGCAUGUAGCGGUGAAAUGCUUAGAUAUGCCACAGAACACCGAUUGCGUAGGCAGCCUGCCAGAGCCGCAUCGACGCUGAGGCACGAAAGCGUGGGGAGCGAACAGG